rnacentral:lncRNA from 1 species
GUCUGCAUUGCGCACACCAAGGAAAGGCCAUGUGAACGCACAGAGAUAAGUUGGCUGUCAGCAUGCCAGGAAGAGAGCUCUCACCAGGAACCAAAUCGGCCCACACCUUGACCUUGGACUUCCCAGCCUCCAGCCUCUAGCACUGAGAUGCAAUCACCAACCUCCCAGGAGCAGACCAAGCCUCACCAGAGAGCUUCGCCUAUGACCUUUGCCUUAUGUUUAAUGCUAAGAUAUCUCCAGGAGGAGCUUGGGCCUUCUUACCGAAACCUGCAGUGU